UACGUAGGGUGCGAGCGUUGUCCGGAAUUAUUGGGCGUAAAGAGCUCGUAGGCGGUCUGUCGCGUCGAUCGUGAAAACUUGGGGCUUAACCCUGAGCUUGCGGUCGAUACGGGCAUGACUGGAGUUCGGCAGGGGAGACUGGAAUUCCUGGUGUAGCGGUGAAAUGCGCAGAUAUCAGGAAGAACACCGGUGGCGAAGGCGCUCUGCUAGGCCGCAACUGACACUGAGGGACGAAAGCUAGGGGAGCGAAUGGG
rnacentral:rRNA from 1 species